rnacentral:misc_RNA from 1 species
GCAAUAUAAAUAACAGUCUGCCCCUAAAACUGCUCAUCCCAUUUGGAUUCUGUUUUCGUGGACGAACAACCUACUUUCCACUCUUACCAUAGCCGUCUCGUAGAGUCACAGUGCGAUUAAAGACGAGCUUAUCAGGUGUGGAAUCCUUGUCAACGACAAAAUAGCCAAGGCGUUCGAACUGGAAUCUUUCCCCAGCAGCGGCAUUUUUAAGUGAUGGUACAGCAUAUGCAUUGGACAUUACCACCUUGGACCGUGGGUUCAGAUCGGAAAGCCAAUCAUC